CAUGCAUGCGCGCGAAGAUGGGAGCGGCGAACGGCUCAGUAAUACUGCGAUGAUCUGCUCUCUACGGAAGAUAACCACUGGACACGGUGGCUAAGGUGGAGAUUGAGACGCAGUCCUAUCAGCUUCGAUGGUAGUGUAAAGGACUACCAUGGCGACGACGGGUGACGGGAGAUCAGGGUCUUGUACCGGAGAGGGAGCCUGAGAGAUGGCUCCCACGUCCAUGGAUGGCAGCAGGCGCGAGAAUUGCCCACUCUCAGAUGAGGAGGCAGUAACGAAGCGUGGGCGGCGCGGGUGUAAAAAGCCUGCGGCCCGACUGGAGGGCAAGUUUGGUGCCAGCAGCCGCGGUAAUACCGACUCCAGGAGUGUCUGUGGUGGAUGCUGCAGUUAAAAGGUCCGUAGUCGAGCGGCAGUGACAGGGCGUGUGGUCAGAGACGCAGUUGCUGCGGAGAGUAGCGGAGCGGGCAGGGUGCGCGGAAUGGUUGGGCGAGCGAUGAAAUGCCAGGACCCCAGGCGGACGAACGGAGGCGAAGGCGGCGCACUGGGACGCAUCUGAGGAUCAAGGACGAAGGCUGGAGGAUCGAAGGCGAUUAGAGACCG
rnacentral:rRNA from 1 species